AGAACAUUGUCUUGUUGUCUGCGCUGGCGGCACUUUUCCUUGGAGGAGAGAAAACUCUAGCUAGCGAAAGGCUUCCGCGGCACCCGAGCGUCCGUGUGUGAGGCUUCCGAACCAAGCCUGCCUCCCGAUGAGUCCUGAAGGGCAGCCAGUGUCAUCCCAUCACUGGCUCAGUGAAAUGAAGUUCAGCCAUUAACAAAGAGAUUUGGGAGAUGAGAAUGCCACAUUCAUUUAAAAUCAGAAACUAUUUAUCAGAGGUCAGUGAUCUCUGACUUCAUGGCCCAACUACCGCCACUGUUUCAGAGGCGCUCAGCCC